CAUAUUAAAGUUUUUUAUUGAAUUUUUCUGUUACAAUGAAAGGGUCUCAUUAUAUGAGUGAUAUGAUGA
rnacentral:tRNA from 1 species